rnacentral:lncRNA from 1 species
AAGAAAGUGGGGCAUCGCCUUGUUCCAUCUCAGCCAGGAUCCUGUGCCCUGGGCGACUUAAGUUUUUCACUGUUCUGCACGCGUCCUUGAAUCAUCAUGAAAGUGCUUGCAGGAGGCGCCAUCUCCAUUAUUACUUGUGGUCUAGACCUUGCAGUUCUGCCUGUAGACCACACCACAAGUGCUGAUGUAAGAGGAGAAAGAGCAGACAGGACCUACACUUGGGGGAGCAGCUCUGUGCCCUGGGCAUUCUGGGAGGACUUCUUCUCAUACUGGUUAUCUUGCUUCCACAUGGUGUAAAAUUAUAUUCCCUGACUGGUUGUGUGUUCUCCGAGUUCCAGUUAGGAAAACUGCAGCUGGAUGACAAAUGCCUGCACUGUUCUUAUGAAACUUGAGCUGAGACCAGGAUUUUGUUUACUGUCAUGUCCUCCGAUUGGUUAAUGUUUGUGUAUAUGAAGACUCUUGAUUUCUUACAUUUGGAUUUUUGAGCGCUCGCAGAAACUUGGGCACUGAUGAAAGUCUCUGGGCCUGCAAAGUCGGGAACCCAACACUCUGGUCUUGCCUAAGAAGACAUCGCAUUGUAACAAUUGUAAAAGAUAUUUUCAGGUGCACAUGGCCUCUACUGACUCUCCUCAGGAAUUGCGGACAUGCAGACUAAGAAGUCAUGCUCCUUGUCUGAGGUCGGUUAGAGUCCUUAAUUGCAAACAGAAUCUACAAUGACUGGUUUAAGCACAAAAGGGAUUUACUAAAGGCUGUGAGGUCACUCACAGAAUCGUGCGGACUGGGAACAGGCUUUGAGACUAUGCUGCCAGGACCAACACCCAAACCGUGCAGUGGGGCUGGACAGAUGAGAACGCUGCUGUCACUGCUGCCACCACCAGAUUAAUGCCUGGGCUUCUGCUGCCAGAACCGAGGCCAUUCUCAGUGGCGAAAGCUGCAUGUAGACUAGCGAAGUGGAUGUUCUGCAGAGAGCCUGCUUUCUUGUGACUCUCACUUCCAAAUGGGAGUGCUUGAUUGGCACAGAGGGAGGCCCCGCCCUGCUUCUGGCUGCUUGGGGGGCGGGUUUCGGGUUUCGAG